UAAGGGGGUGACUGCGGAAGGAUCAUUAAAGAAAUUUAAUAAUUUUGAAAAUGGAUUUUUUUGUUUUGGCAAGAGCAUGAGAGCUUUUACUGGGCAAGAAGACAAGAGAUGGAGAGUCCAGCCGGGCCUGCGCUUAAGUGCGCGGUCUUGCUAGGCUUGUAAGUUUCUUUCUUGCUAUUCCAAACGGUGAGAGAUUUCUGUGCUUUUGUUAUAGGACAAUUAAAACCGUUUCAAUACAACACACUGUGGAGUUUUCAUAUCUUUGCAACUUUUUCUUUGGGCAUUCGAGCAAUCGGGGCCCAGAGGUAACAAACACAAACAAUUUUAUUUAUUCAUUAAAUUUUUGUCAAAAACAAGAAUUUUCGUAACUGGAAAUUUUAAAAUAUUAAAAACUUUCAACAACGGAUCUCUUGGUUCUCGCAUCGAUGAAGAACGCAGCGAAAUGCGAUACGUAAUGUGAAUUGCAGAAUUCCGUGAAUCAUCGAAUCUUUGAACGCACAUUGCGCCCCUUGGUAUUCCAGGGGGCAUGCCUGUUUGAGCGUCAUUUCCUUCUCAAACAUUCUGUUUGGUAGUGAGUGAUACUCUUUGGAGUUAACUUGAAAUUGCUGGCCUUUUCAUUGGAUGUUUUUUUUCCAAAGAGAGGUUUCUCUGCGUGCUUGAGGUAUAAUGCAAGUACGGUCGUUUUAGGUUUUACCAACUGCGGCUAAUCUUUUUUAUACUGAGCGUAUUGGAACGUUAUCGAUAAGAAGAGAGCGUCUAGGCGAACAAUGUUCUUAAAGUUUGACCUCAAAUCAGGUAGGAGUACCCGCUGAACUUAAGCAUAUCAUAAACCCGGAG
rnacentral:rRNA from 1 species